ACGGUUUACAAUUUUAGUGCAACUUCUCGUUUUUUGUCUGUAACGAAUUAGUGUUCACAGUUCACAAACAUGGCGAUUUCCCUAUCGACAAGUCUCUUGCCAAACACUUUCCAGUGCAACGGGAACCACAAUCAUCGUUCGACGCGCCUCUUUCCCAACCAACCAUUGAAUUUCGGUCUCAAACACCAUAGAAACGAGAACAAACUCUCCACGCCACGGAAUCCGCCGGUGCUCUCCGCCGUCUCCGGCUCUACCGGACUCGAAUCUUCUGCAGUGAGUGAAGAUAAUGUUGAUUUGUUGGAUACGGUUAAAGUGUUCGAUUUGAACGGCAAUGAAAUCCCCAUCUCUGAUUUGUGGAAAGAUCGGAAAGCUGUUGUCGCAUUUGCUCGCCAUUUUGGAUGUGUCUUUUGCCGCAAACGGGCUGAUUAUCUUGCCUCCAAGAAGGAUGUAAUGGAUAAAUCAGGUGCUGCACUUGUUUUAAUUGGACCUGGAAGCAUUGAACAGGCCAAAACAUUUGCAGAGCAAACUAAGUUCAAAGGAGAGGUUUAUGCAGAUCCAAGCCACUCAUCAUACAAUGCACUAAGAUUUGUUUCUGGGGUUACAACCACAUUUACCCCCAAAGCAGGUCUUAAAAUAAUACAGUUGUACAUGGAAGGCUACCGACAAGACUGGAAGCUUUCUUUUGAGGAAGACACUGUUAAGAGAGGUGGCUGAGACCAGAACAUUAAGUUUGCAUGUGGUUCCUGCCUUUCCUGGAAGUCAUGGCAGCAAGGUGGAAUUUUAGUAGCAGGUCCUGGAAAAACCAACAUUUUAUACAUUCACAAGGACAAAGAAGCAGGGGAUGAUCCAGAUAUUGAAGACAUUUUGAAAGCUUGUUGCUCAUAAGAAAUGGGGCCUAUAAUCUCAGUGAAAUUUCGAGUUUAUAAUCUAUCAUAGUGUAUAUAUGGGAAUUUUCAGUAAACUCUUAUGUUCUUUUCCAAUAAUGUGUGAUACAACAGAAAUAGAAAGGAGUUUUAUCA